GACGAACGCUGGCGGCGUGCUUAACACAUGCAAGUCGAACGGAAAGGCCCUGCUUUUGUGGGGUGCUCGAGUGGCGAACGGGUGAGUAACACGUGAGUAACCUGCCCUUGACUUUGGGAUAACUUCAGGAAACUGGGGCUAAUACCGGAUAGGAGCUCCUGCUGCAUGGUGGGGGUUGGAAAGUUUCGGCGGUUGGGGAUGGACUCGCGGCUUAUCAGCUUGUUGGUGGGGUAGUGGCUUACCAAGGCUUUGACGGGUAGCCGGCCUGAGAGGGUGACCGGCCACAUUGGGACUGAGAUACGGCCCAGACUCCUACGGGAGGCAGCAGUGGGGAAUAUUGCCCAAUGGGCGGAAGCCUGAUGCAGCAGCGCCGCGUGCGGGAUGACGGCCUUCGGGUUGUAAACCGCUUUCGCCUGUGACGAAGCGUGAGUGACGGUAAUGGGUAAAGAAGCACCGGCUAACUACGUG
rnacentral:rRNA from 1 species